rnacentral:rRNA from 1 species
AUUGAACGCUGGCGGCAUGCCUUACACAUGCAAGUCGAACGGUAACAGGUCAAGCUGACGAGUGGCGAACGGGUGAGUAAUAUAUCGGAACGUGCCCAGUCGUGGGGGAUAACGUAGCGAAAGCUGCGCUAAUACCGCAUACGAUCUCUGGAUGAAAGCGGGGGACUCGCAAGAGCCUCGCGCUAUUGGAGCGGCCGAUAUCAGAUUAGGUAGUUGGUGGGGUAAAAGCCCACCAAGCCGACGAUCUGUAGCUGGUCUGAGAGGACGACCAGCCACACUGGGACUGAGACACGGCCCAGACUCCUACGGGAGGCAGCAGUGGGGAAUUUUGGACAAUGGGCGAAAGCCUGAUCCAGCCAUGCCGCGUGCAGGACGAAGGCCUUCGGGUUGUAAACUGCUUUUGUACGGAACGAAACGGCUCUCUCUAAUACGGGGGGCUAAUGACGGUACCGUAAGAAUAAGCACCGGCUAACUACGUGCCAGCAGCCGCGGUAA